AGCUGUCUGUGCAUUAGAGAUCUUCUCCGGAGAUCAGGGUUACAGCGUUGCAGCAAACGAUACAGAGGAAACUGACCAGUGCCUAAAAAUAAUAUGCUCAUUGGAUUCAACUGGAGACCUCAACGAAACAUGUUAUUCAAAAAUUAGAGAGGAGAACUGCAUUUCUGUGUCUGGAUUUUAUUUCUAUUACUGUAAAG